GUUGUAUGGUUAAGUGACUAAGCGUACACGGUGGAUGCCUUGGCAGUCAGAGGCGAUGAAAGACGUAGUAACUUGCGAUAAGCCCAGAUUAGGUAGUAACAACCAUUUGAGUCUGGGAUUUCUGAAUGGGGAAACCCACGUGCAUAAGCACGUAUCCUUACCUGAAUACAUAGGGUAAGGAGGCGAACCGGGGGAACUGAAACAUCUAAGUACCCCGAGGAAAAGAAAUCAACCGAGAUUCCGAAAGUAGCGGCGAGCGAAAUUGGACUAGCCCUUAAGCUUUACACGCGUUAGACGAACGGUCUGGAAAGUCCGACGAUACAGGGUGAUAGUCCCGUAGUUGACGACGUGUGUUCAGUGAAAUCGAGUAGGGCGGGACACGUGAUAUCCUGUCUGAAUAUGGGGGGACCAUCCUCCAAGGCUAAAUACUACUGACUGACCGAUAGUGAACCAGUACCGUGAGGGAAAGGCGAAAAGAACCCCUGUGAGGGGAGUGAAAUAGAACCUGAAACCGUGUACGUACAAGCAGUAGGAGCAGGCUUUGUCCUGUGACUGCGUACCUUUUGUAUAAUGGGUCAGCGACUUAUAUUCAGUGGCAAGGUUAACCAUCUAGGGGAGCCGUAGGGAAACCGAGUCUUAACUGGGCGUUCAGUCUCUGGAUAUAGACCCGAAACCAGGUGAUCUAGCCAUGGGCAGGUUGAAGGUUGAGUAACAUCAACUGGAGGACCGAACCGACUAAUGUUGAAAAAUUAGCGGAUGACUUGUGGCUAGGGGUGAAAGGCCAAUCAAACCUGGAGAUAGCUGGUUCUCCCCGAAAGCUAUUUAGGUAGCGCCUCGGACGAAUACUACUGGGGGUAGAGCACUGUUAAGGCUAGGGGGUCAUCCCGACUUACCAACCCUUUGCAAACUCCGAAUACCAGUAAGUACUAUCCGGGAGACACACGGCGGGUGCUAACGUCCGUCGUGGAGAGGGAAACAACCCAGACCGCCAGCUAAGGUCCCAAAUUACUACUAAGUGGGAAACGAUGUGGGAAGGCUCAGACAGCCAGGAUGUUGGCUUAGAAGCAGCCAUCAUUUAAAGAAAGCGUAAUAGCUCACUGGUCGAGUCGGCCUGCGCGGAAGAUGUAACGGGGCUAAGUAGUAAACCGAAGCUGCGGCAAUGUGCUUUUGCACAUUGGGUAGGGGAGCGUUCUGUAAGCGGUUGAAGGUGUGUGGUAACGCAUGCUGGACGUAUCAGAAGUGCGAAUGCUGACAUGAGUAACGAUAAAGGGGGUGAAAAACCUCCUCGCCGGAAGACCAAGGGUUCCUGUCCAACGUUAAUCGGGGCAGGGUAAGUCGACCCCUAAGGCGAGGCCGAAAGGCGUAGUCGAUGGGAAACGGGUUAAUAUUCCCGUACUUCUUACAAUUGCGAUGGGGGGACGGAGAAGGCUAGGUGGGCCUGGCGACGGUUGUCCAGGUUCAAGUGCGUAGGCUUAAGAGUUAGGUAAAUCCGGCUCUUUUUAAGGCUAAGACACGACGUCGAGCACCUACGGGUGUGAAGUCAUUGAUGCCAUGCUUCCAGGAAAAGCCUCUAAGCUUCAGAUUGUAAGGAAUCGUACCCCAAACCGACACAGGUGGUCGGGUAGAGAAUACCAAGGCGCUUGAGAGAACUCGGGUGAAGGAACUAGGCAAAAUGGUACCGUAACUUCGGGAGAAGGUACGCUCUUGACGGUGAAGUCCCUCGCGGAUGGAGCUAUUGAGAGUCGCAGAUACCAGGUGGCUGCAACUGUUUAUUAAAAACACAGCACUGUGCAAAAUCGUAAGAUGACGUAUACGGUGUGACGCCUGCCCGGUGCCGGAAGGUUAAUUGAUGGGGUUAGACUUCGGUCGAAGCUCUUGAUCGAAGCCCCGGUAAACGGCGGCCGUAACUAUAACGGUCCUAAGGUAGCGAAAUUCCUUGUCGGGUAAGUUCCGACCUGCACGAAUGGCGUAAUGAUGGCCACGCUGUCUCCACCCGAGACUCAGUGAAAUUGAAAUCGCUGUGAAGAUGCAGUGUACCCGCGGCUAGACGGAAAGACCCCGUGAACCUUUACUACAGCUUGGCACUGAACAUUGACCCUACAUGUGUAGGAUAGGUGGGAGGCUUUGAAGCACGUACGCCAGUAUGUGUGGAGCCGUCCUUGAAAUACCACCCUUGUAGUGUUGAUGUUCUAACGUCGACCCCUUAUCGGGGUUGCGGACAGUGCCUGGUGGGUAGUUUGACUGGGGCGGUCUCCUCCCAAAGAGUAACGGAGGAGCACGAAGGUGGGCUAAUCACGGUUGGACAUCGUGAGGUUAGUGCAAUGGCAUAAGCCCGCUUGACUGCGAGAAUGACAAUUCGAGCAGGUGCGAAAGCAGGUCAUAGUGAUCCGGUGGUUCUGAAUGGAAGGGCCAUCGCUCAACGGAUAAAAGGUACUCCGGGGAUAACAGGCUGAUACCGCCCAAGAGUUCAUAUCGACGGCGGUGUUUGGCACCUCGAUGUCGGCUCAUCACAUCCUGGGGCUGAAGUCGGUCCCAAGGGUAUGGCUGUUCGCCAUUUAAAGUGGUACGCGAGCUGGGUUUAGAACGUCGUGAGACAGUUCGGUCCCUAUCUGCCGUGGGCGUUGGAAGAUUGAAGGGGGCUGCUCCUAGUACGAGAGGACCGGAGUGGACGAACCUCUGGUGUUCGGGUUGUGUCGCCAGACGCAUUGCCCGGUAGCUAAGUUCGGAAUCGAUAACCGCUGAAAGCAUCUAAGCGGGAAGCGAGCCCUGAGAUGAGUCUUCCCUGAUACUUUAAGUAUCCUAAAGGGUUGUCGGAGACUACGACGUUGAUAGGUCAGGUGUGUAAGUGCUGUGAGGCAUUGAGCUAACUGAUACUAAUUGCCCGUGAGGCUUAACCAUACAACACCCAAGGGGUUU
rnacentral:rRNA from 1 species